CCUACGGGAGGCAGCAGUGAGGAAUAUUGGUCAAUGGACGAGAGUCUGAACCAGCCAAGCAGCGUGAAGGAUGACUGCCCUAUGGGUUGUAAACUUCUUUUAUAAGGGAAUAAAACGAGGCACGUGUGCCUUUCUGCAUGUACUUUAUGAAUAAGGAUCGGCUAACUCCGUGCCAGCAGCCGCGGUAAUACGGAGGAUCCGAGCGUUAUCCGGAUUUAUUGGGUUUAAAGGGAGCGUAGACGGGUUGUUAAGUUAGUUGUGAAAGUUUGCGGCUCAACCGUAAAAUUGCAUUUGAUACUGGCAGUCUUGAGUACAGUUGAGGUAAGCGGAAUUCGUGGUGUAGCGGUGAAAUGCUUAGAGAUCACGAAGAACCCCGAUUGCGAAGGCAGCUUACUAAGCUGUGACUGACAUUGAUGCUCGAAAGUGUGGGUAUCAAACAGGAUUAGAUACCCUUGUAGUC
rnacentral:rRNA from 1 species